UACGUAGGGUGCGAGCGUUGUCCGGAAUUAUUGGGCGUAAAGAGCUCGUAGGUGGCCUGUCGCGUCGGCUGUGAAAACUCGGGGCUCAACUCCGAGCUUGCAGUCGAUACGGGCAGGCUAGAGUUCGGCAGGGGAGACUGGAAUUCCUGGUGUAGCGGUGAAAUGCGCAGAUAUCAGGAGGAACACCGGUGGCGAAGGCGGGUCUCUGGGCCGAUACUGACACUGAGGAGCGAAAGCGUGGGGAGCGAACAGG
rnacentral:rRNA from 1 species